rnacentral:rRNA from 1 species
UACAGAGGGUGCAAGCGUUGUUCGGAAUUAUUGGGCGUAAAGCGCGUGUAGGCGGCCGUGCACGUCGGGUGUGAAAGCCCUCGGCUCAACCGAGGAAGUGCGCCCGAAACUGCAUGGCUUGAGUACCGGAGAGGAUGGCGGAAUUCCCCAAGUAGAGGUGAAAUGCGUAGAGAUCGGGAGGAACACCAGAGGCGAAGGCGGCGACCUGGACAGACACUGACACUCAACUACGAAAGCGUGGGGAGCAAACAGG